GCCCAAAGGCUUUUCCUAGGAGAGAGCCUAGAACCAGAGGGAAUGGCCCCUGGGACCCAGAAACAUCCAUCCCAGGAGUUGGUGACAUUCAAGGAUGUGGUUGUGGACUUCACUGAGGAGGAGUGGUGCCUCUUGGACCGGUCUCAGAAAGCGCUGUACAAGGAGGUCAUGCUAGAGAAUAUCCAGAAUCUACUGUUCCUUGGUGGAGCUGGGGAUUGGAUGUCAUGGCCCUGGGCAUCAAACAAGGCACAGAAGGAUGGAUGCCAAAUGGUUCAGAUGGAGAUUCACUUACCAGAUCCAGAAUUCCCUGCCCUUUCAUAGCAGGGCUCCCAGAAUGCUGGUUGGCUCCCCUCUUUGAGGUUUUGGGUGAGAACUGGAGUCUGAUCCCCGAGAAGCUGCUGACCAGAAUCUGGUCCCUAUGGAGCUGAGCAGCCGGAGAGGAGCCAGGUUGGGGGCUGUAUGGUUGAGGGAUCCCUAUGUCAUCCAGACUCUCCUCUCCAGAGCCACAGUCCUCUUCUUGGUCACAAGGGUCUUUAUCCAGAUCUUCCUCUCCUCCCCCAGGGAGGAGGCAGGGGACCAUGCUGGCAAAGGAAGGGGGCAAGGGUGCUGGGUGGAUCCCGAGGUCCCUCCUUCCCCCACAAACUAAGAAGUGCUGAGGAGGAGCUAAUCCCCCAAGGGGACAAGUCACCCCCGGGGACUCUGAAAAAGGCCAUCCCUUGAUUUGCAUCUUAAACAAGCCUAAUCACUGACUGAGCAUUGCCUCAGUCAAGGUGAGAUGUUGGAAAGACCUU